rnacentral:rRNA from 1 species
GUCCACGCCGUAAACUAUGAUUACUCGUUUCAGCGAUAUACUGUUGGAGACUAAGCGAAAGUGAUAAGUAAUCCACAUGGGAGUACGAUCGCAAGGUUGAAACUCAAAGGAAUUGACGGGGCCCGCACAAGCGGUGGAGCAUGUGGUUUAAUUCGAUGAUACGCGAGGAACCUUACCAGGGCUUAAAUGCAGAACGCAUGAAGUGGAAACAUUUCAGUCUUCGGACGGUCUGCAAGGUGCUGCAUGGCUGUCGU